UACGUAGGGACCAAGCGUUGUUCGGAUUUACUGGGCGUAAAGGGCGCGUAGGCGGCGCGGUAAGUCACUUGUGAAAUCUCUGAGCUUAACUCAGAACGGCCAAGUGAUACUGCAGUGCUAGAGUGUGGAAGGGGCAAUCGGAAUUCUUGGUGUAGCGGUGAAAUGCGUAGAUAUCAAGAGGAACACCUGAGGUGAAGACGGGUUGCUGGGCCAACACUGACGCUGAGGCGCGAAAGCCAGGGAGCAAACAGG
rnacentral:rRNA from 1 species